ACUUACGGCCAUACCACUCUGAAAACGUCUGAUCUCGGAAGCUAAGCCGAGUCGGGCCUGGUUAGUACUUGGAUGGGAGANNGCCUGGGAAUACCAGGUGCUGUAAGCCU
rnacentral:rRNA from 1 species